rnacentral:rRNA from 1 species
GUGGGGAAUUUUGGACAAUGGGCGCAAGCCUGAUCCAGCAAUGCCGCGUGCAGGAAGAAGGCCUUCGGGUUGUAAACUGCUUUUGUACGGAGCGAAAAGGCUCUCUCUAAUACAGGGGGCUCAUGACGGUACCGUAAGAAUAAGCCCCGGCAAACUUCGUGCCAGCAGCCGCGGUAAUACGAAGGGGGCUAGCGUUGUUCGGAAUUACUGGGCGUAAAGCGCACGUAGGCGGGUGGUUAAGUCAGGGGUGAAAUCCCCGGGCUCAACCUGGGAAUUGCGUUUGUGACUGUAGGACUCGAGUGUGGCAGAGGGGGGUGGAAUUCCACGUGUAGCAGUGAAAUGCGUAGAGAUGUGGAGGAACACCGAUGGCGAAGGCAGCCCCCUGGGUCAACACUGACGCUCAUGCACGAAAGCGUGGGGAGCAAACAGGAUUAGAAACCCGUGUAGUCC